ACAAAUGUUUAAUAUUGGUAUCUUCAGUCUUGCAGACAAAGGUAAAACAAGAUUCAGUGGCUGGAAGUUGAAGCUAGACAAAUUCAGAC